rnacentral:lncRNA from 9 species
CAAGGUUUAUUCUUUGAUCUCCAAAGGUUUGCUUCAUUGAGUCUGAUAAUGGUGCAUGACGUGAAGAAUGUGAGCUAUACUCUAGUCUCACAUUACCUGGGUUUUACUUAGUCAUCAGUGUAAUUUAUCUAAGGGCAGCCUGCUGCUAAAAAAAGAGCUCAGCUUGAAGCCUUCUAGCUUACACAGCAGGAGUCUUCUAGAAAUUUUGCCACUGGAUCGAAGUCUAAGACUAGAAGUAAAGAGGAAAUUCCUUUCACUUUAGUUUGAAGAAACAGAUGAGACUCUGGACAAAGACUGCAAGCAAAGGAAGAACCAGUCACUUCACACAGAGCAUGGGAGUUUUGGCAUCACCAGUUAUCCUUUAGGCAUGGAAGAGCUUUCCAUCAUUACUCCAAUGUCUAACUACCACUGUCGCUUCAAAAAAGCCUCUCAAGUUCCAGUGAAGAAGCAAGUAACAGCAUGGGUAUUUUAGCUCACAUAUAAAAUGAAACAAACCAGAGCGAGAGAAAGAGAAUCCUGUUUCAGUACAGAUAACCUUGGUAAGUAAAAGUGUCAGAAUGUUAAUACUCACUUGUUCUUUGAUGCACAAGUGUUACCAAGUCCACUGAUCACUGCAUGACAGACCAAUAGAUGGAGAGUUGAGGUGUUGGGACAAGGAAUAAUGACUUUAUUCAGAAAGCCAGCAGACUAAGAGGAUGGCAGACUAGUGUCCCAAAGAACCAUCUUACCCAAGUUAGAAUUCAGGCUUCUUUUAUACUAAAAAGGGAGGGGGCGUGGCUAUUGUUGCAAAAUGUUUUGGUGCAGGACUCUUUUAUUCUUCUAGCUCUCUGCAUAGGUCUGGGC